rnacentral:rRNA from 1 species
AGUGAACGCUGGCGGUAGGCCUAACACAUGCAAGUCGAACGGCAGCACAGUAAGAGCUUGCUCUUACGGGUGGCGAGUGGCGGACGGGUGAGGAAUACAUCGGAAUCUACUUUUUCGUGGGGGAUAACGUAGGGAAACUUACGCUAAUACCGCAUACGACCUACGGGUGAAAGCAGGGGAUCUUCGGACCUUGCGCGAUUGAAUGAGCCGCUGUCGGGUUAGCUAGUUGGCGGGGUAAAGGCCCACCAAGGCGACGAUCCGUAGCUGGUCUGAGAGGAUGAUCAGCCACACUGGAACUGAGACACGGUCCAGACUCCUACGGGAGGCAGCAGUGGGGAAUAUUGGACAAAGGGCGCAAGCCUGAUCCAGCCAUACCGCGUGGGUGAAGAAGGCCUUCGGGUUGUAAAGCCCUUUUGUUGGGAAAGAAAAGCAGCAGGUUAAUACCCCGCUGUUCUGACGGUACCCAAAGAAUAAGCACCGGCUAACUUCGUG